rnacentral:rRNA from 1 species
UGGGGAAUAUUGCGCAAUGGGCGGAAGCCUGACGCAGCGACGCCGCGUGGGGGAUGAAGGCCUUCGGGUUGUAAACCUCUUUCAGCGCCGAAGAAGCGUGAGUGACGGUAGGCGCAGAAGAAGCACCGGCUAACUACGUGCCAGCAGCCGCGGUAAUACGUAGGGUGCAAGCGUUGUCCGGAAUUAUUGGGCGUAAAGAGCUCGUAGGCGGUUUGUCGCGUCGGCUGUGAAAACUCGGGGCUUAACUCCGGGCUUGCAGUGGGUACGGGCAGACUGGAGUGCGGUAGGGGAGACUGGAAUGCCUGGUGUAGCGGUGAAAUGCGCAGAUAUCAGGAGGAACACCGGUGGCGAAGGCGGGUCUCUGGGCUGUAACUGACGCUGAGGGACGAAAGCGUGGGGAGCGAACA